rnacentral:rRNA from 1 species
UACGUAGGGUGCGAGCGUUGUCCGGAAUUAUUGGGCGUAAAGAGCUCGUAGGCGGUCUGUCGCGUCGGUCGUGAAAACUUGGGGCUUAACCCUGAGCUUGCGGUCGAUACGGGCAUGACUGGAGUUCGGUAGGGGAGACUGGAAUUCCUGGUGUAGCGGUGGAAUGCGCAGAUAUCAGGAGGAACACCGGUGGCGAAGGCGGGUCUCUGGGCAGUAACUGACGCUGAGGAGCGAAAGCGUGGGGAGCGAACAGG